AGAAAAAAUAAAAGGCAUUCAUCUCUAUCUAACAACAACAAGAAUAUACUCAUCUCAAUCCAACAACAACGCGAGUAAGUUCAUCUCUAUCUAAUGACAACAACAACAUGGCCGAAUAAAUAUCUGAAGAUCAAACACAUGUAUGAAGAAGUGAAGAGGAAGACAACAAAGACGAUGUGUUUUCCGGCCAAAGAUUGUAUUUCUCGGCGUGGUGGUCACCGACGAAGUGCUCAAAUCUUGAUAUUUUCUUUAUGGGUUUUGUAGAGGAGAUGGAGGAGUGUCUUUAUAUGGUGAUGGUUUUUCAAAGAUGUUGUAUGGGUGGUCAAGAUCUAGCAAAAAGGUGGCGGUUAGAAUAUUAAAAAAUGUCUCCAAUCUGAAAAUAAAUUUGAUAGAAGAAUAGAGGAUAAUGAGAGGAUGAAGAUGAUGAUGGUUGAACAACCAAACAAGGUCUAAAACAUAUUGAAGGAGGUUGUGUGGGUGCUGGGCGGCUAGGGUUUUCAGAGGGGAGAGAGGUUCUUUAAAAAAAAUUGAUGAAGAGAGAGAAAGAAAAGAGU